UUGCUCGCUUCAGCAGCACAAAUAUAAAAAUGGAACGACACGCAGACUAGCAUGGCUCCUGCGCGAGGCUGACACGAAGGGCUCAUGCAGUGCAGGAUGAAGAA
rnacentral:snRNA from 1 species